rnacentral:piRNA from 1 species
CCAGUAGUACUUGACAAGCUUAUC